rnacentral:rRNA from 1 species
AACGAACGCUGGCGGUAGGCCUAACACAUGCAAGUCGAACGACGUCUUCGUACUUAGUGGCGCACGCGUGAGUAACACGUGGGAAUAUACCUUACGCCGUGGGAUAACAUCGUGAAACUGAUGCUAAUACCGCAUACGCUCCUCGGGGGAAAGAUUCAUCGGCGAAAGAUUAGCCCGCGUCCUAUUAGCUAGUUGCGGAGGUAAUGGCUCACCACGGCUCCGAUCGUUAGCUGGUCUGAGAGGAUGACCAGCCACACUGAGACGGAGACACGGCGCAGACUCCUAGAGGAGGCGGCAGUGCCGGAUAUUGCACUAUCGGCGGAAGCCUGAUCGAGCCAUGCCGCGUGAGUGAUGAAGGCGUGAGAGAUGUACAGCUCUUUCACCCACGACGAUGAUGACAGUAGUGAAAGAAUAAGCCCCGGCUAACUUCGUG